CUGCCUUAAAGCGUGCACAUAGAGCUUGAUAUCGAGACUUUAUUGCUUUGUUGAUAAUUCCUUUAAAAUUGCAACUGCAUUUUUCUCUCCUGCUGAAUGUGGGUGAUUAGUCUUGAUUUCAUAUUCCAAUCUCUAUUGAAGGUAAUCCAAACCAGAAUCGGCUUUCUGGAACUUCUAGGCCAUCGGUGGAGAACAUUGACUACUUACCCGAGUUGGCUUCAUUCUUCAAACUUAUGAUGCAAUCUCUCUGGACAUCAGAAGAAGGCCUCCAGAGCCAACUAACCUGGGCCCAUGGGAGCUCACAGAACCUGAACCAGCACCUUCUCGUCAGUCGUACCCUCACCUCUCUUGGUUUCACAGAGGUGACAUCUGAGAACAAGCAAGAAGACAAAUUGAAAGUCAUCAAACGGGGGCUGGUGAGAUGGCUCAGUGGGUAAGAGCACCCGACUGCUCUUCCAAAGGUCCGAAGUUCAAAUCCCAGCAACCACAUGGUGGCUCACAACCACCGGAGAUCCUGAUGCCCUCCUCUGGUGCGUCUGAAGACAGCUACAGUG
rnacentral:lncRNA from 1 species